rnacentral:tRNA from 1 species
GCCCUCGUAGCUCAGUGGAUAGAGCAGGUGCCUUCUAAGCGCCUGUCCUGGCAAACGGAACAUCGCGUAGAAAUGCGGAACGCGGAUCGCGGAUCGCCAACGCAAUGGAGGGCGCCA